rnacentral:lncRNA from 1 species
UGCCUCAAGUACCCUAGGGGUAAAAUUUCUUCCCUCAAUUCCUACUGAUAUUAUAGAAAACUUACAAUGUAUUUUACGGUCCUGACAAUUACAGGUGGGAUUCAUAGGAGAUAUAUUGACGUGACUUUUGGAUUCUAAACAGUGCUGAGAUAAUUAAGCAGAAUCUGAAUUAAGAUUGGAAGUGGCCACCCAGGAUAUGAUAACAGUUAAAUAAUCUAGAAACUACUUUUUUAAUUGCGUUAGGAGAGAGCAAGUAUUCUCAUGGCUGUUCUUUCUC